rnacentral:rRNA from 1 species
ACGCCCGCGUGAGGGAUGACGGCCUUUCGGGUUGUAAACCUCUUUCAGUAGGGAAGAAGCGAAAGUGACGGUACCUGCAGAAGAAGCGCCGGCUAACUACGUGCCAGCAGCCGCGGUAAUACGUAGGGCGCAAGCGUUAUCCGGAAUUAUUGGGCGUAAAGAGCUCGUAGGCGGUUUGUCGCGUCUGCCGUGAAAGUCCGGGGCUCAACUCCGGAUCUGCGGUGGGUACGGGCAGACUAGAGUGAUGUAGGGGAGACUGGAAUUCCUGGUGUAGCGGUGAAAUGCGCAGAUAUCAGGAGGAACACCGAUGGCGAAGGCAGGUCUCUGGGCAUUAACUGACGCUGAGGAGCGAAAGCAUGGGGAGCGAACAGGAUUAGAUACCCUGGUAGUCCAUGCCGUAAACGUUGGGCACUAGGUGUGGGGGACAUUCCACGUUUUCCGCGCCGUAGCUAACGCAUUAAGUGCCCCGCCUGGGGAGUACGGCCGCAAGGCUAAAACUCAAAGGAAUUGACGGGGGCCCGCACAAGCGGCGGAGCAUGCGGAUUAAUUCGAUGCAACGCGAAGAACCUUACCAAGGCUUGACAUGAACCGGUAAUACCUGGAGACAGGUGCCCCGCUUGCGGUCGGUUUACAGGUGGUGCAUGGUUGUCGUCAGCUCGUGUCGUGAGAUGUUGGGUUAAGUCCCGCAACGAGCGCAACCCUCGUUCUAUGUUGCCAGCACGUGAUGGUGGGGACUCAUAGGAGACUGCCGGGGUCAACUCGGAGGAAGGUGGGGACGACGUCAAAUCAUCAUGCCCCUUAUGUCUUGGGCUUCACGCAUGCUACAAUGGCCGGUACAAAGGGUUGCGAUACUGUGAGGUGGAGCUAAUCCCAAAAAGCCGGUCUCAGUUCGGAUUGGGGUCUGCAACUCGACCCCAUGAAGUCGGAGUCGCUAGUAAUCGCAGAUCAGCAACGCUGCGGUGAAUACGUUCCCGGGCCUUGUACACACCGCCCGUCAAGUCACGAAAGUUGGUAACACCC